AGAACCGACGUUUCGGGCACUAGCCCUUCAUCAGGAAUGAGGCUGUUUUCUUGCUGAUUAUUUCAGGUCAUUCCUGAUGAAGGGCUUCUUGACUUGUUGUGCUUUUCCAGCACCACACUCCGGACACUAAGCUGCAGUCCUCACUUUCUCCUAGUGUGGACUAAUAUGUCUAAACAGGAGAAAACACUGCCUUAGGAUUGACCACCUGACAAUUUUGAGAAGGAAACUGGGUUUGUACACAGAACUGGGAUGAGAGGAGGUGGUGUAGGUGGGUACAAUUACAACAUUCCUGAUGAGAGGCUUAUGCUCGAAACAUCAACUCUCCUGCUCCACGGAUGCUGCUUGACCUGCUGCGCUUUUCCAGCAACACACAUUUUGACUCUGAGCCAGCCUUAUUAAACCAAUGUGAGAUAAACAAAGAUGGUUUCAGCUAAAACCAAAGUUUUAUCUAAAUGCAACAAAACUCAGGUCCUGCUCCACAACCACCUGAUGAAGAGGCAGCACCUUGAAAGCUAGUGCUUCCAAAUAAGCCUGUUGGACUAUAGCCUAGUGUUUUUUUUUAAUUUCAAAAAUAUACUUUAUUCAUAAAUAUUUUGAUCUAUACAACUGGACAUGCCGUACAUAAGUAAACAUUCCAUUUGUUUGCAUACCGAAACAGAGUAAUCAUUCCUAUUUACAGGUCGGUAUGAUUACAUUUUAGCCUAGUGUUGUGUGAUUUUUAACUUUAUGCACAGAAAUCAAGACUUAUGCUCCUAGUGCAGUACUGAGGGAGUGCUGCACUGUCAGGGAGCCACCUCUCAGUGAGACAUUGACAAGGCCCCAUUUGCCUGCUUGGGUAGGUGUACCUGAUCCUAUGGCACUGUUUGGAGAAAAGUAUAGAUGUAUUCCUAGUAUUUUUAGCCAGUAUUUAUCCCUGAACCAACAUUACAAAAGGAGAUUAUCUGGUUAUGUUGCUUGUGGGAACCGUCUGUAUGCAAAUUGGCUGCUGCGUUUCCUACACUAUAACAGACACUACAAUUCACAAAGACCUAAUUGGCUUUGAAGUACUUUGAGAUGUCUGAUGGCUGUGUAAAGAACUAUAUAAAUAAAAU